rnacentral:rRNA from 1 species
GACGUAGGGCGCGAGCGUUGUCCGGAUUUAUUGGGCGUAAAGAGCUCGUAGGCGGCUUGUCGCGUCGACUGUGAAAACCCGCGGCUCAACCGCGGGCUUGCAGUCGAUACGGGCAGGCUAGAGUUUGGUAGGGGAGAUCGGAAUUCCUGGUGUAGCGGUGAAAUGCGCAGAUAUCAGGAGGAACACCGGUGGCGAAGGCGGAUCUCUGGGCCGUAACUGACGCUGAGGAGCGAAAGCAUGGGGAGCGAACAGG